rnacentral:lncRNA from 1 species
GCCCUGAUGCUACGAUGCUGUAGUUGAUCCUCGAAGAAUGAAAUCGGGCUUCGAAGAUCGCGCUGGAUUCCAAGGUUGGGUUGGUAGUCGCAGCAAUCCAGAUCCCGUGACUCCUCCAGGCACUUGCCCAAGUUUCCUUCAGGGGAUCUCAAUGUCAACAACAACUUAUGCUCCCUUCACACAUCAACAUCGACAGCACUGCCAAUCAGGCCUUACCAAUGUACAUCAUCGUUCUCAUCAACGAUGAUUCGAUAAUUGACUGCCAUGUUACACGGGGCGGGUUGAAUGCCAGCACGGGGCUAGGCUGAUGUGUCAAUUUCGUUUCUGCAAAGGAGCAGCAACUCGAUUAGGAUUCGCGUUCUUGUCACGCGCUAGCAACUGCCGAGCAGAUUAAUCAUUACAGAGAGAACCCUUAUUUUAGCGUCGAAUCUGACCCACCACCACACGAGGUCAAAGUGCAAAAUUCGAGACGAGGUGGAACCAUGGCAGAUACCGAAACAACACGGGCAAAUGAGCAUGUCAUAUCUAGCAAGUAGCGUCAAGCUAAGCACCACAGACAGCAAUAAGUGUACGACGGUGUGUACCUCGGGCGCCAAAUAGUUCGCCUUUCCAAAGUUUCCAUCGAUCAGCGAGGUCGAUGCUCAUUUUUGAUCUCCACCCUUCAGUCGCUUCAUGACACUAGUACUACAGUAUGCAAACAUGUCCACCUUUCUUCUCUUCGUUCUAUCAUUCAAUGAUUUGAUUUGACCGAAUUAUCCCCGCAAUUUUAGGGGCCCCUCAGAUGUACUGUACAGGUAUUCGGAGUUGCUGAGUGCAUAGAAUUACAGAUCAACCGGGCCAAUGAAAUCUAUUCAGGAUGUAUGGUCGGAUUAGAGGAUGUGUCAAUCGCAUUGCUCUAAACCCGGUAACAAGCCGUGACUAUUUGCCUUCAGAAGCCAAUUGGCCUUUUCUUCCAUAGGGCUACAUGGCCGACGGAGAGGUUUUCUGAUAAAGACAAACUUGGCAGUGAGAUCAUCGAAUGAUAUGAUGAGCGUGUUGUGACAAGAGAUAUGGUUCCGUUUAUGGUAAAACAUGUACGUUAUUCCCCAAUUAUAUUGCAGUUUAAACCACCAAAUUUGAUGCUGUCCUUGUGUGGCCUUUGAGAUCAUGCAAAACCGAAUCUUGAACUGGCUGUUGGUGCUAUGCUCUACGUCCAUCUUGCAGCUAAUGCUACUAUCAACCUGAAGAUGAGCACAAUCUCAAGAACUAGUAGCAUACAGGCUGCCAGCAUUCGACAUAAAAUCGAUCUCAUAGCUGCAGAUCUGCAUUGAUGCAGAAGCCGAG